rnacentral:rRNA from 1 species
UACGUAGGGUGCAAGCGUUGUCCGGAAUUAUUGGGCGUAAAGAGCUCGUAGGCGGUGUGUCGCGUCGGCCGUGAAAACCUGGGGCUUAACUCUGGGCGUGCGGUCGAUACGGGCAUCACUAGAGUUCGGCAGGGGAGACUGGAAUUCCUGGUGUAGCGGUGAAAUGCGCAGAUAUCAGGAGGAACACCGGUGGCGAAGGCGGGUCUCUGGGGCCGAUACUGACGUGAGGAGCGAAAAGCGUGGGGGAGCGAACAGGG